GUCCCCGUCGAUUAGUGGUUAGAUCAUCACGUUGUGGCAGUGCUUCUCCGCUUAGCAAUCCGUGAAGACGCAGGCUCGACUCCUGCCAGGGACA